GCUUGUCUCAAAGAUUAAGCCAUGCAUGUCUAAGUAUAAGCACUUAUACCGUGAAACUGCGAAUGGCUCAUUACAUCAGUUAUAGUUUAUUUGAUAGUCCCCACUACUUGGAUAACCGUAGUAAUUCUAGAGCUAAUACAUGCACAAAAUCCCGACUUACGAAGGGAUGUAUUUAUUAGAUACAAACCAACAUCGUGGUGAUUCAUAAUAACUUUGCGAAUCGCAUGGCCUUGUGCCGGCGAUGAAUCAUUCAAAUUUCUGCCCUAUCAACUUUCGAUGGUAAGGUAUUGGCUUACCAUGGUUGCAACGGGUAACGGAGAAUUAGGGUUCGAUUCCGGAGAGGGCGCCUGAGAAAUGGCGACCACAUCCAAGGAAGGCAGCAGG
rnacentral:rRNA from 1 species